UACGGGGGGGGCAAGCGUUGUUCGGAAUUACUGGGCGUAAAGGGUUCGUAGGUGGCUUGCUAAGUCAGACGUGAAAUCCCUCAGCUUAACUGGGGAACUGCGUCUGAUACUGGCGAGCUUGAGUGCAGGAGAGGAACGCGGAAUUCCAGGUGUAGCGGUGAAAUGCGUAGAUAUCUGGAGGAACACCGGUGGCGAAGGCGGCCUGCUGGGCAGUAGCUGACGCUGAGGCGCGACAGCGUGGGGAGCAAACAGG
rnacentral:rRNA from 1 species